AAACCCACAGACAAACUCUCUCGUAUAGAGACUAUCACUAGACACACAAAUCCGAAAACUAAAUCUCUCUUUCUUCUCUUUCUACAAAACUAGGGUUUGGGGAAUUUUGUUUUGAGAAUCAUCGAUUCUGCAUUGCUGUUUUCAUCAUGGAACAAGAUCACCUCCUAAAGAGAUGCAUAUUCUCACCAAGGUUCAAAGAUGAGAAUCAUGCUUGCCAUAAGACUGAUGCGUUGUUCCAGCAUUUUUAAUGAAAGAGUUGUGUUAAAACUUAUGGAGUCUAUGUACUGAUAAGUAAGUAGAAGUUGAAGUAGGGAAUGAAGCCAAUGGUCCGGUCUCCUAUAUAUAUCUGUAUCAUAUUUACAAUUACAUGUAAUGGAUUCAGUUGUUCCAGAAUUAUUUGGAUCUGACUGCAUCAUUUUGAAUAUGUAUCCUCUUUAUUGUUUUUUAUCUUUAACUUGUCCUGUCAUUGAAUAUUUGAAACUAUGCAUCUAAAAUUUAUGCAUCUUUAAUGAAAGUGAAUUCCGACUGAAUUAGGUUAA